rnacentral:rRNA from 1 species
GGUUAAGCGACUAAGCGUACACGGUGGAUGCCCUGGCAGUCAGAGGCGAUGAAGGGCGUGCUAAUCUGCGAUAAGCGCCGGUAAGGUGAUAUGAACCGUUAUAACCGGCGAUACCCGAAUGGGGAAACCCAGUGUGAUUCGUCACACUAUCAUUAACUGAAUCCAUAGGUUAAUGAGGCGAACCGGGGGAACUGAAACAUCUAAGUACCCCGAGGAAAAGAAAUCAACCGAGAUUCCCCCAGUAGCGGCGAGCGAACGGGGAGGAGCCCAGAGCCUGAAUCAGCAUGUGUGUUAGUGGAAGCGUCUGGAAAGGCGCGCGAUACAGGGUGACAGCCCCGUACACAAAAGCGCAUAUGCUGUGAGCUCGAUGAGUAGGGCGGGACACGUGGUAUCCUGUCUGAAUAUGGGGGGACCAUCCUCCAAGGCUAAAUACUCCUGACUGACCGAUAGUGAACCAGUACCGUGAGGGAAAGGCGAAAAGAACCCCGGCGAGGGGAGUGAAAAAGAACCUGAAACCGUGUACGUACAAGCAGUGGGAGCCCCACCACUAAGCCAGUGGUGAACUCCACAUACGCAUCCUUUGCUGAGGAGACGGUUAACGGAGCGAAAGCGACGUUCAACCUCAAAAGAAGCAGAGGGGGCUUAGUGGUGGGGUGACUGCGUACCUUUUGUAUAAUGGGUCAGCGACUUAUAUUCUGUAGCAAGGUUAACUGUAUAGGGGAGCCGGAGGGAAACCGAGUCUUAACCGGGCGUUAAGUUGCAGGGUAUAGACCCGAAACCCGGUGAUCUAGCCAUGGGCAGGUUGAAGGUUGGGUAACACUAACUGGAGGACCGAACCGACUAAUGUUGAAAAAUUAGCGGAUGACCUGUGGCUGGGGGUGAAAGGCCAAUCAAACCGGGAGAUAGCUGGUUCUCCCCGAAAGCUAUUUAGGUAGCGCCUCGUGAAUUCAUCUCCGGGGGUAGAGCACUGUUUCGGCUAGGGGGCCAUCCCGGCUUACCAACCCGAUGCAAACUGCGAAUACCGGAGAAUGUUAUCACGGGAGACACACGGCGGGUGCUAAUGUCCGUCGUGAAGAGGGAAACAACCCAGACCGCCAGCUAAGGUCCCAAAGUCAUGGUUAAGUGGGAAACGAUGUGGGAAGGCCCAGACAGCCAGGAUGUUGGCUUAGAAGCAGCCAUCAUUUAAAGAAAGCGUAAUAGCUCACUGGUCGAGUCGGCCUGCGC